CGCACGAGCGCACCCACGUCUUUAGUUGCCAGCAUUUAGUUGGGCACUCUANCNAUACCGCCGGNUGAUAGACCGGAGGAAGGUGUGGAUGACGNCNAGUCAUCAUGCCCCUUACAUCCUGGGCUACACGCGUACUACAAUGCUACGGACAAAGGGCAGCAAGUUCGCGAGGACAAGCAAAUCCCAUAAACCGUGGCUCANUUCAGAUCGUAGGCUGCAACUCGCCUACGUGAAGGAGGAAUCGCUAGUAAUCGCAGGUCAGCAUACUGCGGUGAAUACGUUCCCGGGCCUUGUACACACCGCCCGUCACACCAUGGAAGUUGGCCACGCCCGAAGCCGUUACUCCAACCCUCGGGAGGAGGAUGUCNAAGGUGGGGCUGAUGACUGGGGUGAANUCGUAACAAGGUAUCCNUACCGGAAGGUGCGGAUGGAUCACCUCCU
rnacentral:rRNA from 1 species